UUCUGGCUCAGGAUGAACGCUAGCUACAGGCUUAACACAUGCAAGUCGAGGGGCAUCAUGGAGUUGCUUGCAAACUCUGAUGGCGACCGGCGCACGGGUGAGUAACGCGCAUCCAACCUUCCCUAUAGUAGAGGAUAGCCCGGCGAAAGUCGGAUUAAUACUCUAUGUUUUCCGUUGCAGACAUCUAAGAUGGAACAAAGGCUUGCCGCUAUAGGAUGGGGAUGCGUCUGAUUAGGUAGUCGGCGGGGUAACGGCCCACCGAGCCAUCGAUCAGUAGGGGUUCUGAGAGGAAGGUCCCCCACAUUGGAACUGAGACACGGUCCAAACUCCUACGGGAGGCAGCAGUGAGGAAUAUUGGUCAAUGGGCGAGAGCCUGAACCAGCCAAGUAGCCGUGCAGGACGACGGCCCUAUGGGUUGUAAACUGCUUUUAUGCGGGGAUAAAGUUCACUACGUGUAGUGUUUUGUAGGUACCGCAUGAAUAAGGACCGGCUAAUUCCGUGCCAGCAGCGGC
rnacentral:rRNA from 1 species